ensembl:lncRNA
GAGGAUGGGAAAGAAGAGCUUACAUCCCAGCCCGUUACCUGCCUCCUCCCUCCAGAGAGCCACAUGCAUUGUGCUGAUCCAGAGACAUGCACAAGAACUCUCUGCUCACUUUGUUGCACGUGCACAACCUCAGCUGCGGCUGGAAAAAGUGCUUUACUCCAUGACAGCGCUGGCUGGAAGCCUCUCCACGUAUGCAGAGAGAGAGAGGCUGUCACAUGCGUUGGUGAUUUGCCAUGGGGAAGUCUGAGGCCAUCCCCAUCCCUUCAGCUUUGGGGUAGUUGGUAGAAGCUGAUCAUAGUGAGAGCGAGCUGCGCUGGCAUCACAAGGUAUGUGGGGAUCUGGGGAGGUGAGCAGGACUGGGAUUGUCCUCCUCAGAAACUCCAGUUACCUUCUGGUACCAGCUGUAACUCAGUGCAUCCCCAGAAUCGGUAACUGCUUCAGAUACAUCUCUUUCUUUUAGGUGCAAGCAAAGUAAUAGGUAGAAGCAGCCCAGCAGAAACAAGUAAUUUCUGAGAGAAGUCCUCAGAACUUGCCUCUGAGUCAUCUCCACGUUGGCAGGAGAAACUGGCAAAGAGGAAAAGUGUCUCUGCAGGUAAUGCUGCUGCAAAGGCCCAGAAUUAAGAGGCUCAGCCAAGUGAACACAUCCAGCCCCUAAGACAGACCUCGUCGUACUCUGAAGGAGCUGAAACAGAAAGCCGUUUUUACGGUUAUGAGGUCGGUGAAGAAAUGACACAAAGUCUUACGCUUCUUUUGCCUAUAUCCACACAUACUAUAUACUCGGCUAGAGCAAAACUCAGGUGAAAUCCUGGCUGUCCCUGCUGGAGAAGCCUCCGCUCAGCCACCUGCUGCAGGCUGGCUGGCAAGGGCCUGGCGCAGAGCUCGGGCAGAGGCAGUGAGUCACAGCCACUUCUGCUCAGUAAUUGCAGCCUGCAGAGGCAGCAGCAGCAGGCGGUGCACUGCUCACGCUUUGUCUGGUGAGGAAGUAGCUGUACCCCUGCCAUGAGAGCUACCCCGUCCCUCCAGAGCCUGGGCUGCUCCUCUCCAGGCUUCAGGACAGGGCAGGGCCCUGCGGCACUGUGCAGGAGCCGCCUCUCACCUUCGUGAGAUGGGGAUUGCAAUUAGUCCUGGCCCUUUGCUUGUGCCAUCUGUCUGCUCCCCGAACAUCCCUGCAGGAUCUGUGUCUUAGCAGGUUAAUUUAAUAACCGCCUGCUUUAUUGCUGCUGGCCGUGGGCAUGGCACGGAGCAGCUGAGUACGUCAACAGCAAAGAGCAGGAAUCAAAUGCUGCCCAGAUGCUCAUUUAGGUUUGUUUUGCUGAGGGAGCGCGAACCCUCCCAUGGGCCGAGCCCUGCGUCGUUCUCCUUGGCAAGAGAUGGGUAAAAAGCAGCAGUGGAGAUUAAACCAGGCCACGGAGCCACGGAGCGCUACACCUGAGAGGUAUGGCGAGGUGAGGACAGCACGGGAGCGGCAGAAAGGUGUUGUUGGCUGGAGAGCACGGCAGCACGGAGCCCAGUGAGUCAGCCCUGCACACCGAUACAGGCAACGACUGCACUUCGACCUCCACCUCUCGCACAGAAACGAUCCGCAAAGCAUCAAGUGCUGGGAGCUGGGAAGGAAACCUCACAGACCCCAAACCGGUGUCGACUGACAGGACCUGGAGGUGGACUCCGAGCUCCAAGACCCCAAGGCGGCACCACCCGCUCGGGCUGUGCUCACGGCUGUGCUCGGGGCCGCAUCGCUGCCUCUUUGUUUUCCCCGGGCCCGCCCCAGCCGCGCUCUUUGCCCCCGGCCCCACUUCCUCACUCAUUCCUCCACCCGCCGCACAAAGGCCCGGCAGCACCACAAAGACGCGCACACAAGGAACCUAAGCGAGCGUGUAAUCUCGUUAUUGUAACCCUCAUCCUCCCUUUCCCCCUUUUCUCCCACCCCCAUUUGUCGCCGAUUAGAACCGGACGGCGGCUCUCAGCCGGUGAACAAAUGACGCUAUUUAUGCACACGGG